AGGCUGGCCGCCAGAGGCACUAAGGCGGCCGCCUAGUUCCAGCCGCUUAAGCCGGCCUGGGGUUGCCUAGUUACUGCCCAGAGAACAAGGAAGAGGUUAUAAACACAGGCAGACGCUCUGGCAAUCUUUUGUCAAACUCUGUGGUGGCGUUGGCGUCCCAGAGCUCCGGAGUUGCUUACUCUUCCUGUAAGGGCAAUCGGACCCUUUCCGGUGAGGGAACCUUUCUCCAGACGUGAUCAAGAGAAACUUGCGAGGGGCUGACUUGAUCUAGCUUACCUUGGGUCACCGAACGGAUUUGGUUUGUUUGUUCUUUCUCUACCCCAAGAAAAAGUCGCUAUCUACUGCGAGGUUUUGUUUUAAAAAGAGAAACAGCAUGCCAAAAGAAAGUGCUGCGCCUACCUGAUGAGCAAGGGAAUAAUAUUCUUAUAGAAAACUUCUUGUAGUAGUAUCAAGUCUCCCCUUGAUUCUGAUAAACAUUGCGCGCAAAGUUUACACUUUAAAGACGAGGCCCUUUCCCCCUUUUGAAAUGACAUGUGACAUAAUUAUCCCAGCGAUCACUAAAACUGUAAAUCUGGAUGCAAUUAAGAGAGAAAACUCCACACAUUUAUGGAAAUUUAAGCGAUGGAAUGUGAUCCAGAAUAUACUCUUCUAUUUCUGAAAUCUCUGUAAAACAGUACAAUGGAAAAAUGAAAACUAAAGGCAUAAUUGAGGAAAUCCAACAUCCCACAAAAGGGAAUUCUAGAAAGAAAAGAGUUAAGGUGUUGCUAGCAAAAGAAAAGGAGUAUGGCUAUCAAGAUGUUGUCAUCUAUAUUGGACACCAAUUGGU